rnacentral:rRNA from 1 species
AUGCGAGGGUCCUCCUCAGUCGCGUCUUCGCCCAGCCCCGCCCAAACGGACGUGAAUAGCAUGACGAGGUCCCAGAGAAUCAACCCGGAUUCCCUCGCUGAUGGCGGCGGCAGCGGCGCGAGCAGGAACCCAGCGGCGCCGGCGCCGGCCCCCAAACCGAGCAAGGAGGAGCGCGCCCCGGACGUCGUCGUCGACACCUCACGCCUCGCGCCCUACUUCCCCCGCACCUCGCUGGAGAAUCGUCCGGCGUCCUCAUCCGCUACCCUCCUGAGCCACCAUCGCUACAACGUCGCCAUGGACACGUCCCACUCCCAUGGACCCAACCUCGGCAGUGACGGUGGCAGCGGCAUCGCCUUGUCGGACUGUCCCUUGCCGCUCCAGUGGUGGGGCCACGGGAAGCGCUCGCGCAGCCGUCACCAGGCGCCGGUGCCCGAACCCGAGCUGACGCGCGCCGAGGUGCGCCGUCGGAAAUCCCUCAAGUACAGGAGCCGCAAGGCGGCGAAGGCGCAGGCGCGAGCGGCGAUGGCGCCGCCGCGCGCCCGCGGUCCCAACCUCAGAGCAUCCCCAUCGCCUCCUCCUCGCGCCGGCACCCUCUGGCUCCACGGGUACCCGGGAAUCAACUCGGAUUCCCUCCCUCUCGCUGAUGACGGCAGUGGCAGCGUGAUCCUUAGGCCAGUGGCACCGAUGGCGGGCCCCACACAAAGCAAGGUCGAGCGCACCCCGCUCGUAGUCGCUGACACCUCAUGCCUUGUGCCGUACUUUCCCCGCACCUCGCUGGAGCACCACAUGAUAUGUGGGCGCAUGACAUCCUCAUCCGUUGCCGUCACGAGCCACCAUCCCUACAAUAUCAACAUGCACACAUAUCAGGGACCCAAUGUUGGUUAUGGCGGCGCCAGCGACAUUGCCCGCACCUCACUUGAGCAGCACAUAUUGUGGGGUCAUGCUCCGCACCCGCCUCAACCGGCGUACUCACCAAUUGCGCCCAUGAGCCACCAUCUCUUGAACAACGCCAUGCACACCUCCCCAGGAUCCAACUUCAGUGGCGGUGGCGGCAACGACAUCGCCUCACCGAAUGCCCAUGUGCCGCUUCGGUGGGGCCAAAGGAAGCGCCCGCGUAGCCACCACGCGGCGCCUGGACCCACUCCCGCGCCUAAACCGGAGUUGACCCCCGCCAAGGCGCAGACGCAGGCGGUGAAGCCGAUGGUGUCGUCAGGCGCUCGCGAGCCCAACCUCAUCACCAACAUGUCGCUCCCUCCUCGCGCUCUCACCCUCUCUCUCCGCAGCUCCGCGGAGGAGCUUCACAACACCGUUGGCGAGCAACAGCCAACAUUGAAGGAGAAGAAGGUGAUGCCGCCGCCGAGCGCCCUUGGUCCCAUCCUCUCGACCAUCUCUCCUCAUGCUGCCACCCUCUCGCUCCACAGUUCUUCGGAGGAACCUCACACCGCCGCCAGCAAGAAGCAGCCAGGGGCGAAGGAGGAGAAGCAGCAGCCAGCCCCCAAAGGGAAGCCUAAGAAGCAGCCGCAGCCGCAGCGUCAGGAGUUGAUCAAGGCGACAAAGGAGCAGAAAGGGAAGGCGCCCAUGGUAGAGGUGCCUCCGACCGUCGAGGAGGAGGAGGAGAAGGCGGCCAUGGCGAGGCCGGUGGUGCCGCGGGUCGUUACACAGCUGACGCACGAGGAGAAAGAGGAGGACUGGCUGGCCAUGACGGGCACCAAGCUGCCGCAGUUCCCCCACAGGCGCCCCGAGAUAGUCCAAAAGCAAGUCAACAACAUCUGCCCGGGGGAGUGGCUUUGGCAGGCCAACAGGAACAGGUACAAAGUCAAGGAGAAGAAGUCCGAGAAGCGCGUGGGCGGCCUGAAGGGCAUGGCGACGGAUGACGAGGACUCCAACUCUGACUGA